rnacentral:rRNA from 1 species
UACGUAGGGGGCAAGCGUUGUCCGGAAUUACUGGGCGUAAAGCGCGUGUAGGCGGGACGGCAAGUCUGGCGUGAAAGGCUCGGGCUCAACCCGAGAUGGCCGCUGGAACUGCCGUUCUGAGGGUCGAAAGAGGAGAGUGGAAUUCCUGGUGUAGCGGUGAAAUGCGCAGAUAUCAGGAAGAACACCCGUGGCGAAGGCGACUACCUGGCCUGUUCUUGACGCUGAGGCGCGAAAGCUAGGGGAGCAAACGGG